UACAGAGGGUGCAAGCGUUGUUCGGAAUUAUUGGGCGUAAAGGGCGCGUAGGCGGUGCGGUAAGUCUGCAGUGAAAUCUCUGGGCUCAACUCAGAGUCUGCUGUGGAAACUGCCGUGCUUGAGUGUGGGAGAGGUGAGUGGAAUUCCAGGUGUAGCGGUGAAAUGCGUAGAUAUCUGGAGGAAUACCGGUGGCGAAGGCGGCAUCCUGGACCAUUACUGACGCUGAGGCGCGAAAGCUAGGGGAGCAAACGGG
rnacentral:rRNA from 1 species